ensembl:lncRNA
CACGCCCACCCCCGUGACAUCACGCUCCAAAGCCCUAUUAGGCUAAUCGUUGUGUCACUUCCGGUAUUUCAGACAAUCCCUUUCCGUCAAGGAUUUUUAAUUUGUUGUGGGUUUUUGUAUUUUGUUGUGGGCUUUUUGUAUUUUGUUGUGGGGUUUUUAUGGAUGGAUGGAUGGUUUUUGUAAUUUGUUGUGGGCUUUUUGUAUUUUGUUGUGGGGUUUUUGUAAUUUGUUGCGGUUUUUUAAUUUGUUGCGAUUUGCACUUCCCAGCCACCGUACCUUACAGAAACCUGGUUUACAACAUGAUGAUUAUGUUAGUAUGACUGUUGAUUCAUUUAAACUAAUCGUCAGAAUCAGAAUUAUUUGACUAUGUUCUGAUCUCAGUCAUCUCAGCCGAUGGCUGCCGCUCUCUGAGCCUGGUUCUGCCAGAGGUUUCUUCCCCUUAAAAUGGCAUAUUUCCUUCCUACUGUCACCAAAGGAUUCUACAAUUGGUGUAAUUUUCUCUGUAAUAUUGUAUGUUUUUUUCCUUUUAUAGAUUCUGGCAUCCUCAGGUGAAAGUAGGCUGGUCUUGUUUUUGGAUUUUGCCUGCUGGUUGGAACCCGUGUUGGCUGGACCAUUUAUACUACCCUUAUCUGUAUAUAGUGUAUAUAGUGUAUAUAUAUAUAUGAGUAGUGCGGUGCUCUGAACGGAUAAUUGGAGGUGAGCUUCCCUCCCUCCAAGACAUCUACAGGAAGCGGUGCCUGAGGAAAGCGGGGAGGAUCAUCAAGGACUCCAGUCACCCCAGCCAUAAACUGUUCAGACUGCUUCCAUCAGGAAGGAGGUUCUGCAGCAUCCGGUCCCGUACCAGCAGACUGAGAGACAGCUUUUUCCAUCAGGCCAUCAGACUGCUGAACACGUCAUAGACACCUCAGCUUCACUACUGGAACUUCAACAUUAUGCACUCCACACUGUAUAUAAAUGCCACUUGUUUUGCACAUAUUCAACUCUGUAUAUUUUAUAUAUUUUUUUAUUAUUAUUAUUAUUAUUUAUUUUUUUUUUCUUUACUAUUUAAUUUGUAAAAAUGUGUAUACACACACACACACACACACACACACACACACGUAGGAAAAUAUUUAGUAUACACAUCCAGAAAUGCAUACACUAUUAUAUAUUGUACAUAUAUUUAUUAGUUUCAGGUUGGCCAUUCUUGUAUUUUGCUCGUUUGUGUUGUUGUGUUUGCACAUCUCUGUUGCUUGUGGGGCUCGCACACAAGAAUUUCACUCGCAUGUGCUGUGCCAGUGUGCCUGCACAUGUGAUGUGACAAUAAAAGUGAUUUGAUUUGAUAUCAGUAUAUCCAUACAUUUGCCCAUAGUACAUCUGUAUAUUUGCUCUCUACGUUUAAUAAUAAUAAUAAUAAUGGAUUGGAUUUAUAUAGCGCUUUUCAAGGCACCCAAAGCGCUUUACAAUGCCACUAUUCAUUCACUCUCGCAUUCACACACUGGUGGAGGCAAGC